GAAGGUCCGGGCGUUAUCCGGAUUUAUUGGGUUUAAAGGGAGCGUAGGCGGGUUUUUAAGUCAGUUGUGAAAGUUUGCGGCUCAACCGUAAAAUUGCAGUUGAAACUGGAAGCCUUGAGUGUACACAGGGGUGCCGGAAUUCAUGGUGUAGCGGUGAAAUGCUUAGAUAUCAUGAAGAACUCCGACCGCGAAGGCAAGUGCCCGGAGUACAACUGACGCUGAGGCUCGAAAGUGCGGGUAUCAAAC
rnacentral:rRNA from 1 species